ACUUCGGUGGUUUAGUGGUAGAAGACGCCCUUGGUUUUGGUGAAACACGGGUUUAACUCCCGUCUGAGGUC